UACAGAGGUGGCGAGCGUUGUUCGGAUUCAUUGGGUGUAAAGGGUGCGUAGGCGGUUUGGAAAGUCGGACGUGAAAGCCCACAGCUUAACUGUGGAAUUGCAUCCGAAACUCCCAAACUAGAGUGCGAGAGAGGUAAAGGGAAUUCCCGGUGUAAGGGUGAAAUCUGCAGAGAUCGGGAGGAACACCAGUAGCGAAGGCGCUUUACUGGCUCGCAACUGACGCUGAGUGCACGAAGGCGUGGGUAGCAAACGGG
rnacentral:misc_RNA from 1 species